UACGUAGGGUGCAAGCGUUGUCCGGAACUAUUGGGCGUAAAGAGCUCGUAGGCGUUUGUCGCGUCUGCCGUGAAAACCCGAGGCUCAACCUCGGGUCUGCAGUCGAUACGAGCAAACUAGAGUGUUGCAGGGGAGACUGGAAUUCCUGGUGUAGCGGUGAAAUGCGCAGAUAUCAGGAGGAACACCGGUGGCGAAGGCGGGUCUCUGGGCAACAACUGACGCUGAGGAGCGAAAGCGUGGGGAGCGAACAGG
rnacentral:rRNA from 1 species